CGCAGAUACCAGGUGGCUGCAACUGUUUAUUAAAAACACAGCACUGUGCAAAAUCGCAAGAUGACGUAUACGGUGUGACGCCUGCCCGGUGCCGGAAGGUUAAUUGAUGGGGUUAGCGCAAGCGAAGCUCUUGAUCGAAGCCCCGGUAAACGGCGGCCGUAACUAUAACGGUCCUAAGGUAGCGAAAUUCCUUGUCGGGUAAGUUCCGACCUGCACGAAUGGCGUAAUGAUGGCCACGCUGUCUCCACCCGAGACUCAGUGAAAUUGAAAUCGCUGUGAAGAUGCAGUGUACCCGCGGCUAGACGGAAAGACCCCGUGAACCUUUACUACAGCUUGGCACUGAACAUUGAACCUACAUGUGUAGGAUAGGUGGGAGGCUAUGAAGACGUGACGCCAGUUGCGUUGGAGCCGUCCUUGAAAUACCACCCUUGUAUGUUUGAUGUUCUAACUUAGCCCCAUUAUCUGGGGUGAGGACAGUGCCUGGUGGGUAGUUUGACUGGGGCGGUCUCCUCCCAAAGAGUAACGGAGGAGCACGAAGGUGGGCUAAUCACGGUUGGACAUCGUGAGGUUAGUGCAAUGGCAUAAGCCCGCUUAACUGCGAGAAUGACGGUUCGAGCAGGUGCGAAAGCAGGUCAUAGUGAUCCGGUGGUUCUGUAUGGAAGGGCCAUCGCUCAACGGAUAAAAGGUACUCCGGGGAUAACAGGCUGAUACCGCCCAAGAGUUCAUAUCGACGGCGGUGUUUGGCACCUCGAUGUCGGCUCAUCACAUCCUGGGGCUGAAGUCGGUCCCAAGGGUAUGGCUGUUCGCCAUUUAAAGUGGUACGCGAGCUGGGUUUAGAACGUCGUGAGACAGUUCGGUCCCUAUCUGCCGUGGGCGUUGGAAGAUUGAAGGGGGCUGCUCCUAGUACGAGAGGACCGGAGUGGACGAACCUCUGGUGUUCGGGUUGUGUCGCCAGACGCAUUGCCCGGUAGCUAAGUUCGGAAUUGAUAAGCGCUGAAAGCAUCUAAGCGCGAAGCGAGCCCUGAGAUGAGUCUUCCCUGACAGUUUAACUGUCCUAAAGGGUUGUUCGAGACUAGAACGUUGAUAGGCAGGGUGUGUAAGCGUUGUGAGGCGUUGAGCUAACCUGUACUAAUUGCCCGUGAGGC
rnacentral:rRNA from 1 species